GGCCGCGGGAAUUCGAUUCAGGCCUAACACAUGCAAGUCGAGCGAUUUACUUCGGUAAAGAGCGGCGGACGGGUGAGUAACGCGUGGGUAACCUGCCCUGUACACACGGAUAACAUACCGAAAGGUAUGCUAAUACGAGAUAAUAUGCUUUUAUCGCAUGGUAGAAGUAUCAAAGCUCCGGCGGUACAGGAUGGACCCGCGUCUGAUUAGCUAGUUGGUGAGGUAACGGCUCACCAAGGCGACGAUCAGUAGCCGACCUGAGAGGGUGAUCGGCCACAUUGGAACUGAGACACGGUCCAAACUCCUACGGGAGGCAGCAGUGGGGAAUAUUGCACAAUGGGCGAAAGCCUGAUGCAGCAACGCCGCGUGAGCGAAGAAGGCCUUCGGGUCGUAAAGCUCUGUCCUCAAGGAAGAUAACGAC
rnacentral:rRNA from 1 species